UGUAUAUAUCAGAGCCUAUAAAAAUUAUUAACAUACCACCUAUUUCUUUAUGGAUACAAGUCUGCUGGACAAGAAUUUCUCAAUCGAUGAAGAAGAGGAAAAGAUGGACUGUUUAGUAACUGGGUGCCUGCUGAGAAAGAAACCAUCUUUAGUGCCAAACACAGGAACAAGGUCUGCUGUGAAGUUUAGACAAAGAACAACGUAACUUCUUACACACUAACAUCUUGGGUCCACCCAGGAUUAGACAUCAUCAUGGACUUAACGCCUUAGGAGAGGAGAGGAAGUACUUAGUAUCCUCUUGAGAAAAAUCUUUUUAGGUACCCUAAUUUGUUUUUCCAGAUGUUUGAUGCUAUAUCAUUUUGAAGAGAUUUCCCUUUUCGUUUGUAAGAAAUAAAGUUUAUGCAGGACAUCUAA